GUGAGCAUAGUUUAACCAAAACAUCAGACUGUGAACCUGACAAUAGAAGCCUGUACC
rnacentral:tRNA from 1 species